UUCACCCUUUGUGAACCAAAAAAACCUUACGCUUCGGCAGCUGGCCCAACCAGCUGUAAGCCUGCCGACGGCACCCAAUUUAAACCUGUCUUUAAAACAUUGUCUGAAUUAAACAUUUUCGAAUGAAAAUUAAAACUUUCAACAACGGAUCUCUUGGUUCUCGCAUCGAUGAAGAACGCAGCGAAACGCGAUAGUUAAUGUGAAUUGCAGAAUUCAGUGAAUCAUCGAGUCUUUGAACGCACAUUGCGCCCAUUGGUAUUCCUUUGGGCAUGUCUGUUUGAGCGUCAUUACAACACCUCAGCGCAAGCUGGUUUUGAGCCGUGAGGGUUCUCUUUCUGAGCCCUUCCGCUUUAAAGUUGUAAGCUCUGCUGACCUCCAGCUUGACCGGAAACAUAGUAAACCAUUGCUUGUUUAUGGAACGGUUGGGGGGUUUUCGGCCUGAACAAAAUCUUCAAUUUCUAAGGUUUGACCUCAGAUCAGACAAGGAUACCCGCUGAACUUAAGCAUAUCAAUAAGCGGAGGAAAAGAAACCAACAGGGAUUGCCUCAGUAACGGCGAGUGAAGCGGCAUCAGCUCAAAUUUGAAAUCUGGAGCCUUCGGCUUCCGAGUUGUAAUUUGAAGAGGAUAUUUCGGAGCGGCCCUGAUCUAAGUUCCUUGGAACAGGAUGUCAUGGAGGGUGAGAAUC
rnacentral:rRNA from 1 species